UCGGUAAUUCCAGCUCCACUAGCGUAUAUUAAAAUUGUUGCAGUUAAAAAGCUCGUAGUUGAACCUCUGGCUGUGUCUAGUUCUGGUUUUCAAUCAAGCUAGAUGCAGUCAUCCAUCUGCAAACCUUCUCGGGCAUUCAGUUGUUCGGUUAGGAGAGUAGAUAUUUUACUGUGAAAAAAUUAGAGUGUUUAAGGCAGACAAUGGUUUGAAUACAUUAGCAUGGAAUAAUAGAACAGGACACUUGUUCAUUUCGUUGGUUAUUGGACUCGUGUAAUGAUUAAUAGGGACAGUUGGGGGCAUUUGUAUUUAAUUGUCAGAGGUGAAAUUCUUGGAUUUAUUAAAGACAAACUUAUGCGAAAGCAUUUGCCAAGGAUGUUUUCAUUAAUCAAGAACGAAAGUUAGGGGAUCAAAGACGAUCAGAUACCGUCCUAGUCUUAACUAUAAACUAUUCCGACUCGGUUUUGGCAUGGCGCAUAUAACCAUGUCAGCGCCGUAUGAGAAAUCAAAGUUACGGUUCCGGGGGGAGUAUGGUCGCAAGACUGAAACUUAAAGGAAUUGACGGAAGGGCACACAAGGUGUGGAGCCUGCGGCUUAAUUUGACUCAACA
rnacentral:rRNA from 1 species